rnacentral:rRNA from 1 species
GUCAAAACGACUCUCGGCAACGGAUAUCUCGGCUCUCGCAUCGAUGAAGAACGUAGCGAAAUGCGAUACUUGGUGUGAAUUGCAGAAUCCCGUGAACCAUCGAGUCUUUGAACGCAAGUUGCGCCGACGCCUUUAGGCCGAGGGCACGUCUGCCUGGGCGUCAC